rnacentral:lncRNA from 1 species
AAAAGAAACUUGUGAUCCCUCAUCUUGAAGUCCUGGAAAACAGCCCUGGACAGAUGGCUAUUUCUUUACAAUUGCAUCGAACCCACUUAUGGAAUAUAGAGGUAGAACUGUAAGCAGAGCACCCAUGCAGCAUCUCUGUCAUGAACUUCAGAUUAGAGCACUGAGGAUCAUGGAUAAGGAAGAGGCUCUCAGAGUCUAAGGAAGACAACAGACAAUGUUAUAGAAAAUGAGUUUAUGGGAUGAAUAUGAAGAUGAGAGAGAAUCUGUGGAAUUUUGAGAAGAGAGAAUCCAACAAAUUGCCUCUGGUGAGUGUUAAAGUAGUUUGAGUAGGAUAAUACAGUAGGAUUCCUGGGACAGCACUUAAAACUCAAUUAUUAGUUAUAAAUUUACAGUCAAUCCAGAUUCCUAUUGCUGCCAUAACAAACUAGCACGAUCGUAGUGAUUUCAUGUAACAUAAAUUUAUUAUUUUCCAAUUCUGUAAGUCAGAAGACUAAAGUCUGAUCAAAUUCUAGGUGUCAGCAGGACUGCGCUUCAUUCUAUAAGCCCUAGGGGAGUAUCUGUUUCCUAAUUAGUGAAACUGUUGGCAGAAUUCAGUUAGUUGCAGCUGUAGGACUGAGCUCCUUGUUUUCUUACUGGCUGCAAUUUGACAACCAUUCCCAGUUUCUACAAGUUGACCAUAUUUGGCUUGUACCUCUUUCCUCCAUCUUCAAAACAAGCAAAUGGUCAAGUACAAUUUACAUCAUUGCAUCUCCCUAACCACGAGUGGGAGGGUUCUCUGCUUUUAUACAUUCACAUGACUAGAUUGGGCCCACCCAGAUAAGCCAGAAUAAUCUCUCCACCUCAAGGUUUCUAACUUUAAUUACACCUACAAAUUACCUUUGCCAUGGCUCACAUUCACAGAUUCCUACAACUAGGAUUGAACAUCUUUGAGGGCCAAUUAUUUAGUCUGCCACAUCCAGUCAAGAUAACUGUGUGUUUUUGCAAGCUGCAUUCAUCUGCAGCGGUAGAGCCUGCAAAGGUAGGAUUGUAUACAAUGAUUUACAUUCAGAUUACUGCUGGGUAGGUGUGUGGCAAGCAGAGUGAGUCCUGACAGAAAACAGAUAUGUUCAGCAUUUUCUGGGAAAGCUUUAUUAUUGAAGGGGCUAUUUGAAAAUAUGUAGGUACAGAGAAAAAAACCUCAAAGUAUGCUGUAACUGGUGGCAGUAGAAUAAUUCUACUUCUCACCCUGGAAAAUGAAGAAGAAAAGAUUAGCAGAAUCUAUGUUCCAGUAGAGUUGGAGCCCUUGAGAGA